UAACGGUCCUAAGGUAGCGAAAUUCCUUGUCGGGUAAGUUCCGACCUGCACGAAAGGCGCAACGAAUUGGGCGCUGUCUCGACCAUGGACCCGGUGAAAUUCCACUAGUCGUGAAGAUGCGACUUACCCGCGGAAGGACGGAAAGACCCCGUGAACCUUCACUGCAGCUUGGCAUUGGCCGCUGGCCCGUCGCGUAGAGGAUAGGCGGGAGGCUUCGAAGCCCGGGCGCCAGCCCGGGUGGAGCCGACCUUGGAAUACCGCCCUCGGCGCGCCGGCGUCCUAACCCCAUGCCGUCAUCCGGAUGGGGGACCGUGCCAGGUGGGUAGUUUGACUGGGGCGGUCGCCUCCUAAAGGGUAACGGAGGCGCGCGAAGGUCCGCUCGGGACGGUCGGCAACCGUCCUCUUGAGUGCAAGAGCAUAAGCGGGCUUGACUGCGAGGCCUACAAGCCGAGCAGGUGCGAAAGCAGGCUCUAGUGAUCCGGCGGCCCCGCGUGGGUGGGCCGUCGCUCAACGGAUAAAAGGUACUCCGGGGAUAACAGGCUGAUCUUGCCCAAGAGUCCACAUCGACGGCAAGGUUUGGCACCUCGAUGUCGGCUCAUCGCAUCCUGGGGCUGGAGCAGGUCCCAAGGGUACGGCUGUUCGCCGUUUAAAGCGGUACGCGAGCUGGGUUCAGAACGUCGUGAGACAGUUCGGUCCCUAUCCUCCGCGGGCGCAGGAGAAUCGAGGGAGGCUGCCCCUAGUACGAGAGGACCGGGGUGGACGCACCUCUGGUGAACCGGUUGUCGACCAACGGCACGGCCGGGUAGCCACGUGCGGCGCGGAUAACCGCUGAAGGCAUCUAAGCGGGAAGCCGUUCCCGAGAUCAGUUCUCCUUCCGGUAAGGGCCCAGGUAGACUACCUGGUCGAUAGGCCGCAGGUGCAAGCACGGCGACGUGCUCAGCCGAGCGGUACUAAUAGCCCGAGCUCUUACCCGC
rnacentral:rRNA from 1 species